rnacentral:rRNA from 1 species
UCGGAAUCUGGGAGGACCAUCUCCUAAGGCUAAAUACUCUCUAGUGACCGAUAGUGAACCAGUACCGUGAGGGAAAGGUGAAAAGCACCCCGGAAGGGGAGUGAAAUAGAACCUGAAACCGUGUGCUUACAAGUAGUCAGAGCCCGUUAAUGGGUGAUGGCGUGCCUUUUGUAGAAUGAACCGGCGAGUUACGAUUUGAUGCAAGGUUAAGCAGUAAAUGUGGAGCCGUAGCGAAAGCGAGUCUGAAUAGGGCGUUUAGUAUUUGGUCGUAGACCCGAAACCAGGUGAUCUACCCUUGGUCAGGUUGAAGUUCAGGUAACACUGAAUGGAGGACCGAACCGACUUACGUUGAAAAGUGAGCGGAUGAACUGAGGGUAGCGGAGAAAUUCCAAUCGAACCUGGAGAUAGCUGGUUCUCUCCGAAAUAGCUUUAGGGCUAGCCUCAAGUGAUGAUUAUUGGAGGUAGAGCACUGUUUGGACGAGGGGCCCCUCUCGGGUUACCGAAUUCAGACAAACUCCGAAUGCCAAUUAAUUUAACUUGGGAGU